rnacentral:misc_RNA from 1 species
UUUCCGUAGGUGAACCUGCGGAAGGAUCAUUACAGAGUUCAUGCCCUCACGGGUAGAUCUCCCACCCUUGAAUAUUUAUACCUUAGUUGCUUUGGCAGGCCGUGGAAACACCAUGGGCUCCGGCUUAUGCGUGCCUGCCAGAGGAAACAAGCUCUGUUUUUAGUGAUGUCUGAGUACUAUAUAAUAGUUAAAACUUUCAACAACGGAUCUCUUGGUUCUG